AAAUGAAUGGGCAGAACUUUGCACGCCCGUGGACGUCGCAAUUUUUGAAAUACGAAGAUGAAACCAAUUGAGGACCUGUAGAACUUAUUGAGCUCUUUCCGAAAAUAUGCGUUACGAAAAGUUACGUCGUACGGAUUUCGUACGAUUGUCGUACGAAGUGGCCCCAUUGGAAUGAAUGGGGCCAAUCGGAGGACGGCAGCUAGAUCGAAGGACAGGUAGCUAGAACUCCAGUACUGUGUGUAAUGGAGCAGCUAUGGGAUAAAUCAGCGUUAGGUCAAAAGUUUGGACACCCCGGCCCCCCAGUACUGUGUGUAAUGGAGCCACGGGUCAAAAGUUUGGACACCCCGGCCCCCCAGUACUGUGUGUAAUGGAGCCACGGGUCAAAAGUUUGGACACCCCGGCCCCCCAGUACUGUGUGUAAUGGAGCCACGGGUCAAAAGUUUGGACACCCCGGCCCCCCAGUACUGUGUGUAAUGGAGCCACGGGUCAAAAGUUUGGACACCCCGGCCCCCCCAGUACUGUGUGUAAUGGAGCCACGGGUCAAAAGUUUGGACACCCCCGAACGGCCAAAGCAACCUAGCGUGCAUAGCUGAUUGAUGUAUUUGCACGUUGCGUAGCAACGUGCAAACACCAUUUAAUCUAAUUUAUGCAUAUACAUCACCUAGCAACCACCUAGCAACACCUUAGCAACCACCCUGGAUACCAUAGCAACACCUUAGCAACCGCCUAGCAACACCUUAGCAACUACCUAGCAACCACCUAGCAACACCUUAGCAACCACCCCGGAUACCAUAGCAACACCUUAGCAACCGCCUAGCAACACCUUAGCAACCACCUAGCAACCACCUAGCAACACCUUAGCAACCACCCCGGAUACCAUAGCAACACCUUAGCAACCGCCUAGCAACACCCUAGCAACCACCUAGCAACCACCUAGCAACACCUUAGCAACCACCCCGGAUACCAUAGCAACACCUUAGCAACCGCCUAGCAACACCCUAGCAACCACCUAGCAACCACCUAGCAACACCUUAGCAACCACCCCGGAUACCAUAGCAACACCUUAGCAACCGCCUAGCAACACCUUAGCAACCACCUAGCAACCACCUAGCAACACCCUAGCAACCACCCCGGAUACCAUAGCAACACCUUAGCAACCGCCUAGCAACACCUUAGCAACCACCUAGCAACCACCUAGCAACACCUUAGCAACCACCCCGGAUACCAUAGCAACACCUUAGCAACCGCCUAGCAACACCUUAGCAACCACCUAGAAACCAACUAGCAACACCUUAGCAACCACCCCGGAUACCAUAGCAACACCUUAGCAACCGCCUAGCAACACCCUAGCAACCACCUAGCAACCACCUAGCAACACCUUAGCAACCACCCCGGAUACCAUAGCAACACCUUAGCAACCGCCUAGCAACACCCUAGCAACCACCUAGCAACCACCUAGCAACACCUUAGCAACCACCCCGGAUACCAUAGCAACACCUUAGCAACCGCCUAGCAACACCCUAGCAACCACCUAGCAACCACCUAGCAACACCUUAGCAACCACCCCGGAUACCAUAGCAACACCUUAGCAACCGCCUAGCAACACCUUAGCAACCACCUAGCAACCACCUAGCAACCACCUAGCAACACCUUAGCAACCACCCCAAAUACCAUAGCAACACCUUAGCAACCGCCUAGCAACACCUUAGCAACCACCUAGCAACACCUU